rnacentral:tRNA from 1 species
UCCCUGGUGGCUCAGAAGGUAAAGCGUCUGCCUGCAAUGCGGGAGACCUGGGUUUGAUUCCUGGGUUGGGAA